AGCGCAACCUUUCCUUAUUUGCCAGCGGUAAGCCGGACUUAAGGAUACUGCCAGUGACAAACUGGAGGAAGGCGGGACGACGUCAAGUCAUCAUGGCCCUUACGACCAGGGCUACACACGUGCUACAAUGGUCGGUACAAAGGGUUGCUACCUAGCGAUAGGAUGCUAAUCUCAAAAAGCCGAUCGUAGUCCGGAUUGGAGUCUGCAACUCGACUCCAUGAAGUCGGAAUCGCUAGUAAUCGCGGAUCAGAAUGCCGCGGUGAAUACGUUCCCGGGCCUU
rnacentral:rRNA from 1 species